rnacentral:rRNA from 1 species
GACGAACGCUGGCGGCGUGCUUAACACAUGCAAGUCGAACGAGAAUCUACUGAAAGAGUUUUCGGACAAUGGAUGUAGAGGAAAGUGGCGGACGGGUGAGUAACGCGUGAGGAACCUGCCUUGAAGAGGGGGACAACAGUUGGAAACGACUGCUAAUACCGCAUGAAGCAUAGGGGUCGCAUGAUCGUUAUGCCAAAGAUUUAUCGCUUCAAGAUGGCCUCGCGUCUGAUUAGCUGGUUGGCGGGGUAACGGCCCACAAAGGCGACGAUCAGUAGCCGGACUGAGAGGUUGAACGGCCACAUUGGGACUGAGAUACGGCCCAGACUCCUACGGGAGGCAGCAGUGGGGAAUAUUGGGCAAUGGGCGCAAGCCUGACCCAGCAACGCCGCGUGAAGGAAGAAGGCUUUCGGGUUGUAAACUUCUUUUAAGAGGGAAGAGCAGAAGACGGUACCUCUAGAAUAAGCCACGGCUAACUACGUGCCAGCCGCCGCGGUAA